UCCUGGCCAAAUAAGGGGAGGGCGAGGGUAGGGGCUGAUCCUAAACCAGUCCUUUAGCCAGCAGUCAGCAGCUCAGUGGUCACUGCCACCUGCCUCCCCUGAGCAUAGGCCCAUCAGUCACCAGCUCAGGCCACCUGGGACCUCAGCGGGUGCCUGGUCUCUCCUCCAGGCUGUGCAGAAGCCCAAAGGGGAAGGGGCUGCCUCUGCCAUGUGCUGACCCACCAGGCACUCCUGGACCGUCAUCUCCUGCCCAGGUCGCGGAGCCCCCAGGGCUGCUCCCCAAACAUCUCCCAGCGCUGGCCCACCUCAGUGCAGCAUCUGUCCAUCCCCGGCCGAAAGGGGAAGCGGGAAAAUAAAAAUAAACUUAAGCGUGUACGGAUCCCAGGGCCCCGUCUGGGGGCCUCAGACCACUGGCAGGAACCUACCCACUGAGCAGCACUCUCUCCAUCCUCCAGGCCCUGCCUGCCUUCCUGGCAGGAGCGAGGCGUGGGGCUCUCGGCCGACAUCAGGGACGUCCGCUCGUCACACACUUCUUCCUCGCUGUCGGAGGCCAUGAAAGUGAGCAUGGCCCCUCCUCCGAAAGUGCCUGGAAAAGGAGCACAGUGGACUCUGUUCCACUUUCCUACAAGGCAAAGGCAGAGGAGGGUGAGAGGUAGCUUUAAGACCAGGACUCAGGUCCUGCCCAAGCUGACCACCUAGGACACAAGUGUCAAAGGGCUGCUAUAAAGCCACGGUCCCCAGGGGCCACCACGGAGGCUGUAGCGGCCUCAAGAGGGACUGGCCAGAGGAGAUCCAGUCCAUGGGGCAAAACUCCCAACCAGAAAUGUCCUGGCCACUCCAGACUGUCAGUACACUCACUUAUUCAAUCAACAAACACCCGUUCAGUACCUAUAAUGUGCCAACACUUUUGUCCUAAAACCAAUAAAAAGCAGCUAUCCAAUGUGACAAAUGA